UGUGUGAAGAAAAUACCCCCACGCAUACCUGCCAGCCCAAUUCAACAAAAUCCCUUCUAUAACCCAAUAUUCCUUCAUUAGUUAAAGACAAAGCCCCAAUUAGUUUCUCUCUCCUCUACGAACAACAUCGACAAAAUCAGGAUGCAAAUUCAUUAAUUGAAGAACGAAAUUUCGCUGCAAUUGAUCUCAACAAACCAGUUUUUGAAUCAGAAUCAAACGCAAAUAUGAAGAGUUGGCAUUUGUUUUGUAGGAUUUUCCCAGAUUUGUCAGAAUUUUCUAUGGUUUUUCCGGCCACUACGAGAUAUUGGAGCUUGAAGCACAUCAUGACCGUUGAUCAUAGCCCAAGACCAAUCGUAUCGGUGAUUAAGGGCUCGGUUCGUGGAAUUGGUCCAAGCAAUGCACCAAGAAGUGAAGUGUUGGGCCUUGAUUUUGGAGCCCAAAUAAUUGAUGAAGUGAAGCUCAAGCCACGGCCAAGGCAAGCCGGGCCCGAUCGGGCAACCAUUAGCUCAAUCGGGCGGCUGCCCAAAAGCAGAAGUGAAGAAAAAAGAUGGGCCCGAUCGGGCGGACCUUAACCCGAUCGGGCGCGCAUAUUUGUAGGCGGUUUAGGAGUUUCGUUUUGGCUAAUCUUCGAGUUUAGUUUUUAAUACUUUUUGUAAUCUUUCUUAGUUAUGUUUUUCAUUAUUCUUUCUCUCAUACUCAAACUCUAGAGAGCUUUUUAGUUGGUUUUUGUUCUUAAACUCAAGAUUCUACCUUUUGAGGGCAAUUCCAAUUUUCCUUCUUUCGGUAUU